GUGCCAGCAGCCGCGGUAAUACGGGGGGGGCAAGCGUUGUUCGGAAUUACUGGGCGUAAAGGGUCUGUAGGUGGCCAACUAAGUCAGACGUGAAAUCCCUCAGCUUAACUGGGGAACUGCGUCUGAUACUGGUUGGCUUGAGUGCAGGAGAGGAAUGCGGAAUUCCAGGUGUAGCGGUGAAAUGCGUAGAUAUCUGGAGGAACACCGGUGGCGAAGGCGGCAUUCUGGACUGCAACUGACACUGAAAGACGAAAGCCAGGGGAGCAAACGGGAUUAGAUACCCUCGUAGUCC
rnacentral:rRNA from 1 species